rnacentral:rRNA from 1 species
UACGAAGGGGGGCUAGCGUUGUUCGGAAUUACUGGGCGUAAAGCGCACGUAGGCGGAUAUUUAAGUCAGGGGUGAAAUCCCAGAGCUCAACUCUGGAACUGCCUUUGAUACUGGGUAUCUUGAGUAUGGAAGAGGUAAGUGGAAUUGCGAGUGUAGAGGUGAAAUUCGUAGAUAUUCGCAGGAACACCAGUGGCGAAGGCGGCUUACUGGUCCAUAACUGACGCUGAGGUGCGAAAGCGUGGGGAGCAAACAGGG